UCUUCUAAAUUAACCUAACACGUUCAUCUUCCAGUAUCUCUAACAUUUCUCUCCUUUUCUUGUUCAGCAUAACAUCUGUUAGGAUUUUUAUUUUCUCAUAUCUCAGACUCAGAUGGAGUUAAUUGGGAAGCCCUCGACGCUCUCUUAAUCGAUUUCGCUAAAUCCGAAAACCUAAUCGAAGACUCCUCCGCCCCUUCAACCUCCUCCUCCUCCUACCACUCCGGCCUCCUCAUCCGCCAGAUCAGACACUCCCUCGAGACCCCCGCCAUUGACGCCGCCCUCCACCUCCUCCGCCUCCACGCCCCCUCCAUCCUCUCCGACCGCAAAAUUCUCUUCCGCUUGCACAAACAGAAAUUUAUUGAGCUUCUUCGGAAGGGGACCGCGGAGGAACGAGACUCUGCUAUCGAGUGUCUCAAAACGGCUCUCGCUCCUUGCGCGCUCGACGCUUAUCCGGAAGCAUAUGAGGAAUUCAAGCAUGUUCUUCUCGCAUUUAUUUAUGACAAGGAUGAUAAGACUUCUCCCAUGGCGAAUGAGGUUGGGGGCUUCAGAAUCAAAGCCAUAUCAAUGGAAAGCAAACAUAAGUUUUGACUGCGUUAUUUAUUUAUUUAUUUUGAUUCUCUAGGAUAUCUUCUAACCGAAAAGUUUAUUCAAAUAUUUAGUUAAUAUAUCUGUAUGCUUAAAAUUUGAAAUAAAAAUCAUUGGUUAAAAUUUGAAUUAAAGAUCAUUGGUUAAACUGAAAAAAAAAAAAAAAGAAUCUGAUUAAAGAAUUUGCUAUUUAUCAAACAUGUUGAAUUUUGUUGGUGUUUUGUUCUAAAAUUAAAGUAGAGUAAUGUCUCAUUCAUUAAUAAAUAAAUUUUAAUCAUUGGAUUACAGCUAGUUUUAUAUAUAUAUAUCUCCCAUUUAUAUAUCAUACUACUGUUGGUGAGGAUCCUGGGAUGUUAUUUUCGUGGGUGCUCUUUUGUUGGGAUUGUAGAGGGCAUAGAAUUAAAAGUUUGAAUAAGUUUGUAUACAUGAUUCAAUUCCCUCUUUCACUGAAACCACAUGAACUGAAAUCAGUGGGGUAUUCACUGCUCCAUUCACUGUCACCGUCUAAAUUAAAGUUGUUGUUCGAGGAGGAUCGUAUAUCCCAUUCAAGUGUUGCU